rnacentral:rRNA from 1 species
GACGAACGCUGGCGGCGUGCUUAACACAUGCAAGUCGAACGGUAAGGCCCUUCGGGGUACACGAGUGGCGAACGGGUGAGUAACACGUGGGUGAUCUGCCCUGCACUUCGGGAUAAGCCUGGGAAACUGGGUCUAAUACCGGAUAGGACCCUGGGAUGCAUGUCCUGGGGUGGAAAGCUUUUGCGGUGUGGGAUGGGCCCGCGGCCUAUCAGCUUGUUGGGGGGGUGAUGGCCUACCAAGGCGACGACUGGUAGCCGGCCUGAGAGGGGGACCGGCCACACUGGGACUGAGAUACGGCCCAGACUCCUACGGGAGGCAGCAGUGGGGAAUAUUGCACAAUGGGCGCAAGCCUGAUGCAGCGACGCCGCGUGAGGGAUGACGGCCUUCGGGUUGUAAACCUCUUUCAGCACCGACGAAGCGCAAGUGACGGUAGGUGCAGAAGAAGGACCGGCCAACUACGUGCCAGCAGCCGCCGCCG